GGUUCUCCCACCGCGCACAGGGGCUUAUGCUAUAACGAGCCCCUCCUAAGGGCUAGUUGCAGGUUCGAUUCCUGCAGGGGACACCA
rnacentral:tRNA from 1 species